rnacentral:rRNA from 1 species
AUUGAACGCUGGCGGCAGGCCUAACACAUGCAAGUCGAACGAGUGGCGGACUGGUGAGCAAUGUAUGGGAAACUGCCUGAUGGAGGGGGAUAACUACUGGAAACGGUAGCUAAUAACGCAUACUAUCAGUUGUGCCCAGAUGGGAUGAGCUUGUUGGUGGGGUAACGGCUCACCAAGGCGACGAUCCCUAGCUGGUCUGAGAGGUUGAACGGCCACACUGGAACUGCGACACGGUCCAGACUCCUACGGUAGGCAGCAGUGGGGAAUAUUGCACAAUGGGCGCAAGGCUGAUGCAGCCAUGCCGCGUGAAUGAAGAAGGCCUUCGGGUUGUAAAGCACUGUCAGCGGGGAGGCGUUACCCGAAGAAGAAGCACCGGCUAACUACGUGCCAGCAGCCGCGGUAAUAC